GAUGAAGAACGUAGCGAACUGCGAUAAGUAAUGUGAAUUGCAGAAUUCAGUGAAUCAUCGAGUCUUUGAACGCACAUUGCGCCCCCUGGCAUUCCGGGGGGCAUGCCUGUCCGAGCGUCAUUGCUGCCCUUCAAGCCCGGCUUGCGUGUUGGGUCGUCGUCCCCCCCGGGGGACGGGCCCGAAAGGCAGCGGCGGCACCGCGUCCGGUCCUCGAGCGUAUGGGGCUUUGUCACCCGCUCGAUUAGGGCCGGCCGGGCGCCAGCCGGCGUCUCCAACCUUCUAUUUUACCAGGUUGACCUCGGAUCAGGUAGGGAUACCCGCUGAACUUAAGCAUAUCAAUAAGCGGAGGA
rnacentral:misc_RNA from 1 species